ACGUUGCUUGUCUGUCUCCUCUCAUUUCUGACCUUCCACUCUGAAUUUACUUCAGGACAGCCUUUCAAUGGAUUUUUGUAUUUUUCAAUGUCAACAAAUACUUUUAAAGUGCCUGCUGUGAGUAAAGCAUUAUUAAGCCACUGGGGGAUAUGUCAAGGUCAGAUAAGACAUGGCACUUUCCCAUAUUAAAUAGGAGGAGCCAAGCUACAAAUAAAUAACUAGAAUCCAACAUUACUACAGGGAAUAAGUGCAUGAAAGAGGCAAAAACUCACUUCUUUACCAAAGUCCAAGAGAAGAAUGAAUAAUUACUCAAAGGGAGAAGCAGAAAGGAAUUAUUGAAAGAGAUGAACAUGAUAUGUGAGCCAAACCUUAACGUGCAUAAGAAAAACCAGAGACAAAAAGAAAACCAUGAGAAAAAUAAAAAGAAAAAACAAGCAAGCAGACAACAACAGCAACAAAAAAGCAUCUAAGAGCUGAAUAUGCAGCCUGGAAGCUGACAGUCCUGCAGAGACCAUCUGCCUUUUACAUCCCUACCAGUUAUUAGACCCUCAUACCUAAGAGAAUUUCUGGCACAAUGGAUAUGGUACAGAGCUUUUCUGAAGUCAGGUCCAUAUUUCCAUUGCCAGAGUCUUUCCAACAGGGAGAAACAAUAUGUUUCCAUCAUCAACUCAGCAGAUGUGUCUGGAAGACCCAUGAGAAGAAGAAAUAUUGAAGGAGAGGAAGACAUGUUUUCCAUCGUCAUUUUCCUGGAUACAAUUGUAUUUAAACUACAAAACAAGUUAGCUCAUUUCCUGUGUCCAGCAGGUUGGCAGCAACAUUAGCUGGAGAUCAGAGCUCGGGGACUUAGGAACUCAGUUGCACACAUCUGUGUUUGCAUUCCGCAUUCUUCAUCCUUCCCUGGUAUUCUGUAAACAUCACUUUGCAUCCAAGCUAACUCUAGGGUAUUAUCUCAAACGGAGUCAUACAGUUGAUUUUCUUGAAAGAGCAUCUAACAAUAAUGUAAA